CUCUCUCUCUCUCUUGCGCAUUCUCUCCUUUUGUUUGUUUAGUCUUUUGGGAAAAGCAAAGAAAAGAGAACAAAAAGGAAGUAAAGAACAAUUCUAAAUGGACCCAUCUCCUUUUCUUUCCCACUUAUCAUUUCUGUGAAUACUUUCUGAAGCAGGAAAGAACUGUUAUGAAGAAGAUGAGUAUCAGGAUUGUCCAGACCUUUAGGUGAUCUUGAUAGCAGUGUUUGAGGUUGGGAUGCCUCCAUUUUGUGGACUGCUGUGUUCCAGUCCUUUAUUAUAUUAUCUUGAGAAUGAUAUUUAUAUUUCUGUUGGUGUGUAUUAACUAUACUCUAGUUAUUUUGGCUUGUAAAUUAUAUGUGCCUUGUAUGGCACAAAUACUAUCUUAUGUGUAAUUAUUCAGUUACACUUUAUAUAUCUAUUUUGAGGUAUUUCAGUUAGAA